UAGCAUUGGAUAACUGCAAAGGUUUCCAGCUGUAGCACAGUCUGCUUGCUUUACUAUAAAAAUAAAUAAAUAAAUAAAGCUACCAUUUCUAUGUGAGUAACGCUAUUUAUAGGCACAUAUGAACACGCACACCCAGAAAGGCCCCAAGGAAUCUUCUCUUUCAGGUUAGAGUGUGAGAUUAAAUGAGUUCCUAAUUGACAAUUGGUUUCUUAAUUUUACCUUAUGAUUUCUUCUUGCUGCCAGCUGGGUUUGCAUGUGUGCUGGCUUCAGAUGAACACCUGUGUAACGCUCUCGAUUACUCCAUAAUUAUAAAUCACUUGUACAGUUCUGCACCAAGCCAGCGGCAGAAUUUCAGGAUUCAGCCUGGGUUAUGGGAUUGAAAUGGAGUUUUGCAUUCACAAACGUGGAAGGCGGUUGUGGCAAGCGGAGUUCAGGAUGGCAUCUGCUGCCUCAAUUCCUGCCAAGCGCGUGCAUAGCUGUUCCUUCGUACGGGUGAAUGCUGGCUACCCUUCAGUGGGCUUCUGAAGGAAAAUCUCUGUCAGUAAAUGAGCCCUUUGUAAAUGUGUUUUAAGUCAUUAUCUUGAUAUUCUGUGCAGCCAGUUGGAGGCCACUUCUAAAAUGCAAACAGGCAGGCUGUGCAUCUAAAACCAACCCGUUGCCAUUUUCACCAAAUCUUGAAUACUGCUCCCCUCCAGCAUCCGCUCUGCCUCAUCAUUUGUUUAAAGGAUGAGGUUUAAUAGCUGUCGGAAGAUGGGUAAACGCAAGGCAAGUUUAUUUGAUGCAAAGGUGCACUUUAUGCCACUGCUUUCUGCAGCUGAAGUGCUCCAGAAGCAGGGCAUCGCAAAGCCUUCGGGAGCUUCUCCUCCCCGGGUAAUCCCUCGUACGCUUGCAAGCACAGACGGGUACCCGGGGCCGUUCUCUUGCAGGUAGUUGCAUUGUUGGCAACGUUUCUAACUGCCGUCUGCCUUGGCACCGCUGAGGAAGUGUGGGAACAAGAAACCCUGGGACGAUUUGGCAGGUUGCAGCCCCGGGGCUCAGGGUGCCCGGUGUCUCCCUGGCUGCAGGGGGGCUGUGGACGGCGGUGCCGGCCGCGCCGGCUUCGUCCCGUGCGAAGGACCCCGGGACCACCCAGCCGCCCCGUCGCGGUGCGAGAGGGGCUUCCCCUCCGCUGCCGCCCAGCGAGGGGGUUUGAUAGCCGGCAUGGGCUGCGUGGGAAGCCCUUCUUUGUACAGUAAUGGAGAGUGCUGCAGUCGUAAAGCAACUUCGUUAAAAAUAAUGUUUCCCCCAGUCGGCACAGAACUGCCUGGCCACCAUCCCAUCUGACCGCUGAAAUCCCUGCUUACGUGAAAUAAGAGUGAAAGACCCUGAUUGCAGCUGAAGGGAAUUCAGUGGAGCCUGAAAUGUGGCAGGGAUGCUGAAGAAAACAACCCGCAGGAUUUUCUGUCUCCUCUCUGCUAUGGGUAAGCAUCGCCGAUGGAGCAGCGGGUACGGUUAGUGAGGCUUCCCCUGCCCUUGUGCAACAGCAUCUGCUCAGCAAGAGGGAGAAAACACAAGAAAAAACUCAUCCUGAUGCUUCUAAGGAUCCGUAUUUUAGAGGGCAGGCAGGGCCCCCGUGAGAAGCGGUGAUAAUUACUGCUUUUACAUGUCGGACGUGCCUCCCAGCAUCAUGAUUUUGCUGUGGCAGACAGCAUGAUUUAUAACACAAAUUACUGAAAAUUACAGAAAAAAGGCCAAUUUACAGUAGCUGAGAAUGGAUCAGAGUUGUAUCUACAGCAGAUUGUUUCUACCAUGAAUAAUUUAAAUGCUUCAAAGCUGCCACGGCCUUGGGUGUCAUUCCUGUGGGCGCUGCAGUCGGGCACCCGAGUGUUGCAAGACCAAACGGAGCAGGAGUGGCUCCUUCCAGCCUUCCACGUUCUGCGUUCACCUAACGGGUAUUCGGAGUGCGCCGUCUCCUCACGGAGGUUGUUGUCCAUUUUCUCAGGUCCGCACCCACACUGCUGGCUCCUGCCAAAAUCCGGUACUUGUGAGGAAGCCGAAGGGAAGCUGUUGUGCCGAGGUAGUAACGGGUAAUGCUGAGUUGAGGCAAAGCCCCUGGUUGAUUCUCGGGUGCUCUCUGGCCCCCUGGGUGGCAUCACACGAAUCGCUUCUCUGACCCAUAGAAACGUGAUGCAGAUUGUGAUCUGAGCAGUGGGUAUGUCAUUGCCUCUGGGGGCAGAGUCAUGAAUGCGUAUGGGUUUAUUUUCUCGUUGAUAUGGCAAACAUUGGUGCUAUAAAGUUGCAUAGAUUUAAUUUUUCCCCUAGCCAGCUGGGUAUGAUCUGUUUUUUAAGCGCAGUCUGGUCCCUGCAAGCGAGCGACUGCACCGAGAAGGCCCAUCUGGUGUGUGAUGGGAAACGGCUCUCGGGAGAGGGGCAGGAGCUGCCGGGGCUCUGUGCCCUGGGCUGCGCUGGCCCCGGGGCUUUGCUUGUCCAGGUGGGACUGGGAAAGGUGAGCCCAGCCCUGGCCCUGGCAGCUAGCGGGACCCAUGCAUGGCAUGAAGAGAGGACUGAAAAAACGGGGGUUCCUCUCCACCUUCUUUUGGAAGCUCCUUUGAACUGUCUGGAAGUUGGUCCAAGAAGUCUGUUUUCUCUUGGACCACAUUAAGCAAACGUUCUAGCCAAUCCCUUUUUCACCAGCCUUAGCAGAAGUAACCCAUCCAUGCUCAGGUAUCCAGCAUGCUGCUGAGAAAAUGACUUCAUGGGGUUAUUGCUUGAAAAAUCCCUUCUGCACUUCCCUCCCCUGCCCCCUCCCCUCCCUCACUGCGCUUGUCCCCUCCAGCAAAUACCUGCUGUGAUAUAUGUUGUCACCUAUGCAGUCCUCUGUGGCUUGUCUUCUGGCCGCCAUCCAUGAAUGGAUAACGGAACGGCUAUUCGAAAUACAAGCAGGAGAGUCAGCAGUAUGGUGAACACGAGAACACUACCAUUAGGUUAUGGUUCAAAGUAACGGAGUUGGCUGUCUUGCUUUCCCCAGGUGAAGUGAACUUCCAUGGAGGGAGCAGCAACCCGCUCAAGCCCCUAAUUUUGAGAGCAGAGCUGGGACAACUGUCCCAACAGAUAAACUGGUACUGAGCAUCUCUGUGGGGAGACCUCUGUCUCCACGAGGAGAGCGGGAACUUCAGCAGAAGAGGGGCUGGCAGCGGGAGGGAUAGACCAGAAACCGGGUGCGAAACCAAGCCACACUCCAUAAACACCCGAGGCCACAAUGAAGGGCUUAAAUAAAAUCAGCAAGAUGUGAAACCUGAGUAUGCCAGCAGAAAUGUCACCGGGGUGUUGUGCUGGUGAACCGAUGAGCUGUUAGUGGAGAGCUGCGUUUCCCACACCUGCUUCUUACAAAACUGUUAAUUAUCACCAGUAUUUCGGCAAUAGCAUCCCCAUAUCCAGCGCAGAUUUGGGAUUUUUUUCUGGUGACUUUUAUUUUCUUAGUGCUGCUGGAAAAAAUGCUUGACUGGUUUAUUUGGUGCCAUUCAUAACAGCAGCUGAACGAAGGGUAUUUAUUUCAGUGAAGCUCUUAAUGACUGGAAAGGAAAUGACUCGCAAGUAAUUAUAAAUAGCUGUAAAGCUGAAGACGUUUCACGGAUUCAUUCACUGCGGAGACAUGAUAGUUUUUCUCGUGAAAAUGUCAUCUUGUUCCUCAGAAAGAUUCCUUAAAAUACCUCAUCAGUCAGAAGACCUGCGCGGUGCCCAGGUACCGCCUCAGCUCUCCUUGUGAGGGACCCCGGUGAGGCAGACGGCGUUACAGAGGUUCACGGGGACCUGAGGGCAUCACCACUGCUCCGUCUUCACGGCGGUUUGCUGCAGCCUCGGUCCCGUUUUGACUUUGGUGGGAACCCAAAGCGGGAGGAGGAGCCGGGUCCCGGGUGUCUGUGGGGGACGUCCACCACAAAGGAAAUAAUUUAUUAGCAAAUAUGCUCGUAAAGAGGCCACGCUGACAAACCAGGCAAGUCUUAUUUUCAGCUGAGGAGCAGCCGCGUGGCAGUGACUCACUAGGGCUUGGUGGUAGAGACGAGCCACCGAGAGCUCGUAAAAUCAUCACCCAGGGGUUUAACGGCA